CCACUGCAGAGCGUGCGGCGGGCCAAGACGCACACCCUGCCGCAGGCCUUGCCGCAGGCCCUGCCCGUCGAGCCACCGCCCACCAAGUACUUGGAAGAUGAUAGUACGGUAGGGGAGAAGCUGCUCGCAGACUUUGCCAGCCAGACUGACGAGUCGCUUCUUGCGAGAUCAGCUUCGCUGCAAAGCCAGAAGGAUUCUCGAUCUCUUGGAAAGGGACUCAAAGAAAGUGAAGACACGUUAACAGAUGUAUUGGGCUUCAUCUGACCUUGAUGAUUGGUAGUUUGACAGUGUGUGUGUGUAUCAGUCAGUUUGUUAUGAGAAUAUGGGGUAGAAUCCCCACUUCCUUUUUUCACUACUUUCAUGUUACAAUUUUAAUUCGGACUGCAAUUGACUUUUAAACUGUAAUGACCUCUUGUGUUGAAUGGUUUUAUAGUGACAAGAGUUUGCUUCCAAGAAUAAGUGGGUGAGAUAAUAAAUGAAUCAACUGCAA